ACGGAAGGCAGCAGUAGGGAAUUUUCGGCAAUGGACGAAAGUCUGACCGAGCAACGCCGCGUGAACGAAGAAGUAUUUCGGUAUGUAAAGUUCUUUUAUCAGGGACGAAAAGACAGAUUGACUGUACCUGAUGAAUAAGCUCCGGCUAACUACGUGCCAGCAGCCGCGGUAAUACGUAGGGAGCGAGCGUUAUCCGGAAUUAUUGGGCGUAAAGGGUGCGCAGAUGGCACAUUAAGUUUCUUGUUAAAAUGCGGGGCUCAACCCCGUAUCGCAAGAGAUACUGAUGAGCUAGAGUAUGACAGAGGCAAGUGGAACUCCAUGUGUAGCGGUAAAAUGCGUAAAUAUAUGGAAGAACACCAGUGGCGAAGGCGGCUUGCUAGGUCAAUACUGACAUUGAGGCACGAAAGCGUGGGGAGCAAACAGGAUUAGAUACCCUGGUA
rnacentral:rRNA from 1 species